rnacentral:rRNA from 1 species
UACAGAGGUCCCAAGCGUUACUGAGAAUCACUGGGUUUAAAGGGUGCGUAGGUGGUCCGUUAAGUCAGUUGUGAAAUCCCCGGGCUCAACCCGGGAAAUGCUUCUGAUACUGGCGGACUUGAGGCCAGUAGGGGUCACUAGAACUGACGGUGGAGCGGUGAAAUGCGUAGAUAUCGUCAGGAAUGCCGGUGGUGAAGACGG